rnacentral:rRNA from 1 species
CCUACGGGCGGCAGCAGUGAGGAAUAUUGGUCAAUGGACGAGAGUCUGAACCAGCCACGUAGCGUGAAGGAUGACUGCCCUAUGGGUUGUAAACUUCUUUUAUAUGGGAAUAAAACGUUCCACGUGUGGGAUUUUGUGUGUACCAUAUGAAUACGGAUCGGCUAACUCCGUCCCAGCAGACGCGGUAAUACGGAGGAUCCGAGCGUUAUCGGGAUUUAUGGGGUUAAAAGGGAGCGUAGGCGGAAUGUCAAGUCAGCGGUAAAAUUUCGGGGCUAAACCCCGUCGUGCCGUUGAAACUGGCGUUCUUGAGGGAGAGAGAAGUAUGCGGAAGGCGUGGUGUAGCGGUGAAAUGCAUAGAUAUCACGCAGAACUCCGAUUGCGAAGGCAGCAUACCGGCGCUCAACUGACGCUCAUGCACGAAAGCGUGGGUAUCGAACAGGAUUAGAUACCCUGGUAGUC